rnacentral:sRNA from 1 species
GGUUCAACUGGGUGCCCAAAAAGUGGCAAUUAGUGAAUUUAGCAGGUGCCUCGAGCUGCUCUUCCGGGCCACACCUGAGGAAAAAGAAAAAGGUGAUCUAGACUUUCAGUUUUCCUCUUACCUCCUGGAAGUGGUAGUGGUGGAAGUGGGUUCCCUUUAAUGUGUCCCAGCCCACCAGGAGACUUAAGAGAAAGGGACUGUGGACACAAGAAGAAAUAGAGGAGGAUUUGGGGUUUUGGUGACUGUGAGGCUGGAAAGACACUUCUUGACUUUGGGAGUGGUCUCCAGGGGCAGCUUUCAACUGUGAGCAGGGAUGUAAGUCAGAUGUGGCACUGCAGCAGCUUCGGGCAGCCGCCCUAAUUAGUCGUGGACUGGAAUGGGUAGCCAGCGGCCAGGAUACCAAAGCUUUACAGGACUUCCUUCUCAGUGUGCAGAUGUGCCCAGGUAUGUAUACUUGCAUGACAUCGGCUAUGCAUAGAUGUGCAAGGACAGAGAGGCCCAUGGGAAAUACUUGGGCAUAAGUGUAAGAGUGAUGUUCUCAGACAGGAGGGGUGAUUGGGGUUGUGCUAUAUAUACCUAGGGAUAUAUCCAG